AGCGAACGCUGGCGGCAGGCUUAACACAUGCAAGUCGAGCGGGCACUUUCGGGUGUCAGCGGCGGACGGGUGAGUAACGCGUGGGAACGUGCCCUCUGGUUCGGAAUAACUCAGGGAAACUUGAGCUAAUACCGGAUACGCCCUUUUGGGGAAAGGCUUGCUGCCGGAGGAUCGGCCCGCGUCUGAUUAGCUAGUUGGUGAGGUAACGGCUCACCAAGGCGACGAUCAGUAGCUGGUCUGAGAGGAUGAUCAGCCACACUGGGACUGAGACACGGCCCAGACUCCUACGGGAGGCAGCAGUGGGGAAUAUUGGACACUGGGCGCAAGCCUGAUCCAGCCAUGCCGCGUGAGUGAUGAAGGCCUUAGGGUUGUAAAGCUCUUUUAUCCGGGACGAUAAUGACGGUACCGGAGGAAUAAGCCCCGGCUAACUUCGU
rnacentral:rRNA from 1 species